rnacentral:pre_miRNA from 1 species
AGGGCUUAGCUGGCCUGUGAACAGUUAGUUCCCUGCGUGUUCACAGUGGCUAAGUUCCGC